rnacentral:rRNA from 1 species
GACCUCAAAUCAGGAAAGAAUACCCCGCUGAACUUAAGCAUAUCAAUAACCGGAGGA